rnacentral:rRNA from 1 species
UACGUAGGUGGCAAGCGUUGUCCGGAAUUAUUGGGCGUAAAGAGCUCGUAGGCGGUCUGUCGCGUCUGCUGUGAAAACUCAGGGCUUAACCCUGAGCUUGCAGUGGGUACGGGCAGACUAGAGUGCGGUAGGGGAGGACGUGGAAUUCCUGGUGUGAGCGGUGAAAUGACGCAGAUAUCAGGAGGGAACACCGGUGGCGAAGGCGGGUCUCUGGGCCGUAACUGACGCUGAGGAGCGGAAAGCCAGUGGGGAGCGAACAGG